AAUCGAUGAUCCUCGAUAUACCUCACCAUUUUUUGCCUUUCAGCCUGUAUACCUCCGUCGCAAAUCUACCAUUUGAAUGCCCCAAAGUAAGUUCAACUGGGCCCCAACACGCCAAUGCGUCAGGUCAAGGUGCAGCUCAUGAAAUGGGAAGCAAUGGGCUACAAUUUCUAAAUUAGAACAAACAAAAAACUACAUGAAACAUAGUCAUGAAGGCGGAUUUAGCAGUAAAAGAAGAACAGCAAGCUUCUUUUAACAAGGCCCUGGGACGUGUACAAACCGCCCGUCACCCUCUUCAAUAGCACCCCUUCAGUUAUAUAACACCUUUUUAGCACCUUAGAAGAGGCAAGUCGUAACAUGGUAAGUGUACUGGAAAGUGCACUUGGAAACAAAGUAUAGCUUAAUUAAAGCAUUUCGCUUACACCGAAAAAACAUCUGAUGAGCCCGGAUUACUUUGAUGCUUCAAAUCUAGCC
rnacentral:rRNA from 1 species